UACGUAGGUGGCAAGCGUUGUCCGGAAUUAUUGGGCGUAAAGCGCGCGCAGGUGGUUUCUUAAGUCUGAUGUGAAAGCCCACGGCUCAACCGUGGAGGGUCAUUGGAAACUGGGGAACUUGAGUGCAGGAGAGAAGAGUGGAAUUCCACGUGUAAGCGGUGAAAUGCGUAGAGAUGUGGAGGAACACCAGUGGCGAAGGCGACUCUUUGGCCUGUAACUGACACUGAGGCGCGAAGCGUGGGGAGCAAACAGG
rnacentral:rRNA from 1 species